UACGGGGGGGGGCAAGCGUUGUUCGGAAUUACUGGGCGUAAAGGGCUCGUAGGUGGCCAACUAAGUCAGACGUGAAAUCCCCAGGCUCAACUUGGGAACUGCGUCUGAUACUGGAUGGCUUGAAUUCGGGAGAGGGAUGCAGAAUUCCAGGUGUAGCGGUGAAAUGCGCAGAUAUCAGGAAGAACACCAAUGGCGAAAGCAGCUCUCUGGGACGGUACUGACGCUGAGACGCGAAAGCGUGGGGAGCGAACAGG
rnacentral:rRNA from 1 species